rnacentral:rRNA from 1 species
ACGGAAGGCAGCAGUGGGGAAUAUUGCACAAUGGGGGCAAGCCUGAUGCAGCGAUGCCGCGUGAGGGAAGAAGUUUUUCGGAUUGUAAACCUCUGUCAACAGGGACGAAAAUGACGGUACCUGGGAAGGAAGCUCCGGCUAACUACGUGCCAGCAGCCGCGGUAAUACGUAGGGGGCAAGCGUUAUCCGGAAUUACUGGGUGUAAAGGGAGUGUAGGCGGGUCUGUAAGUCAGAUGUGAAAUCCGCCGGCUCAACUGGCGGACUGCAUUGGAAACUGCGGUGCUAGAGUGAAGUAGAGGUAAGCGGAAUUCCUAGUGUAGCGGUGAAAUGCGUAGAUAUUAGGAGGAACAUCAGUGGCGAAGGCGGCUUACUGGGCUUUAACUGACGCUGAGGCUCGAAGGCGUGGGGAGCAAACAGGAUUAGAUACCCUGGUA